GACGAACGCUGGCGGCGUGCCUAAUACAUGCAAGUCGAACGCAGUGGGGACGGUUGAGUGACACGUGGGUAACCUCCCAUCAGAGGGGAUAACACUUGGAAACCGGUGCUAAACCGAUACUGAUGGAUGAACCCGCGGGGGAUUAGCGAGUUGGUGGGGUAACGGCUCACCAAGGCCACGAUGCAUAGCCGGUCUGAGAGGAUGAUCAGCCACACUGGGACUGAGACACGGCCCAGACUCCUACGGGAGGCAGCAGUAGGGAAUAUUGCGCAAUGGACGAAAGUCUGAUGGAGCAACGCCGCGUGAGUGAAGAAGGUCUUCGGAUCGUAAAACACUGUUGGUCGAGAAGCGUUACCUAACGAGAAAGCACCGGCUAACUACGUGCCAGCAGCCGCGGUAAUAC
rnacentral:rRNA from 1 species